AAUUGCAGUGCUCCACUAGUCAUUUUCAAAUUGUGUUAGAAAAGUUAGACUUAGAACAGUUGUGUUAGAAGAAUAGUUUAGAAGUGGAUAUAUCCCAUAAACAGAUUUAAAAUUAGUGAUACUCAAUCAAUCAAUUUUAAGCAUUCAAGAAGCUAAAAAUAUUUCCAAAACAAUCAAUAAAAGGAAUAUCAUGGCACAAAACACUAAAGAUAUAAUUGACAAAAUUAAAAAUAAUA